rnacentral:rRNA from 1 species
AAAGGGACUUCGGUCCUGAGUAAAGUGGCGCACGGGUGAGUAACACGCGACUAACCUACCCUUGAGUGGGGGAUAACCUCGGGAAACCGGGGCUAAUACCGCAUAAUACCUACGGGUCAAAGGAGCAAUUCGCUCAAGGAGGGGGUCGCGGCCGAUUAGUUAGUUGGUGAGGUAAUGGCUCACCAAGACAGUGAUCGGUAUCCGGCCUGAGAGGGCGCACGGACACACUGGAACUGAAACGCGGUCCAG